rnacentral:sRNA from 1 species
CAGUGAAGGAACCAAAGCCGUCACGAA